UGCACAUGGAUGCACGAGCGUGCACACAGCAAUGCAGCUGCGUGUGCACAGGGCCGGUGCACGACCUCGCACACGCGUGUGCAAAUCCAGAACCCCGGGCUCAUCUCCCCCCCCGGCUCAGGCACACGCGUGUGCACACGGGCACCGCGCCGGCAGCACGGCCAGCUCCCCGCUCCGGCCCCCCCGGCACACUCCGGCCCCACGCCACCGGCCUUCCCGGCUGCGCUCCCUGCAGCACGGCGGGAGGCUGGGCCGACGCUCCGACACUCCGAGGUCAUGGGAGGCCGGGGCCGGCAGGACGCCUGGGCCCUUGGAAAGCGGCGGGUCGGAGCAGGAGGAGCCCUUCGGAGCCCCUCGGAGCCCCGUGCACGGGACCGGCUCCGGCGAUGCCUCCGCGCCCGCCCCUGCCUCAGUUUCCCCGGCAGCGGAGCAGCCGGCACCGGAGCGUGCUCCCGACACAGCAGUAUUCGCAAAGGGCCGUGGAGGGAGGCCACUGGAGCACGCGGAGCCGGGAUGAACGACCGGCUCCAUGGAUGUGCUCCCCACCCGGUCCCCGUCCCCGUCGGGCUCCAAGCGGGACCCCGGCGCCCGGGCAGCUCCCAACGUCCGUGGGAGCCCCAGGACCGCGACGCUCCCAGGGUGCCAGGGCACGGAGGUGUCCACGUGCCGGCGUCCGCGAGGACACGAGCGUCCCCGUCGGCGUGCCGAGCCGCCGGAGCAGCCAGAGCCGGCGCCGGGCUUGGUGCGGCACUGGGCACCGCGUCGUCCGGUCCCUGGGAUGGGACGGGAUGGGACAGGAUGGGAUGGGAUGGACGGGGACCGGGUCAUGCUCGCGUCCCCCGCAGAGCAGCCGUGUCCAUGGGAUGGGAUGGGAUGGGAUGGGACGGACGGGGACCGGGUCGUGCUCACAUCCCCCACGCAGCAGCCGUGUCCCCGGGAUGGGAUGGGAUGGGAUGGGACGGACGGGGACCGGGUCGUGCUCACGUCCCCCGCGGAGCAGCCGUGUCCCCGGGAUGGGAUGGGAUGGGAUGGGAUGGACGGGGACCGAGUCGUGCUCGCGUCCCCCGCGGAGCAGCCGUGUCCCCGCACCGGGUUGGCUCCACGUCCCCCUGCCNNNNNNNNNNNNNNNNNNNNNNNNNNNNNNNNNNNN
rnacentral:lncRNA from 1 species